AAAUCAACUUCGUUCCAUCAAUAGGUCUCCAUCCAAACCCAAAAAGAAAAAACCAGGACCACCCAUUUGUCGGACACCGCCACCCAACCCACCGUCUACUGCUGCCUCGACUGUCACCAUCCAUCUGGUUACAGAAGGCUGACUUCUGGCUCGAGAGUAGCUCUCAAAAAGGAGAAAAAAAAGGAACAAACACAAAUGAGAUUUUGACAGUCUUGUCCCAUUUCUUGCUUAUCUAUCCAUUUGAAUCCCAUUUCGACUGUCUAGAAGCUCUCCGAUUCAUUGGUUCUGUCAACUCCUACUUUAAUAGACUUAAAGGACUUUGGGAGGAACUCAAAAAUUAUAGGCCAAAUGUCAAUAAUACUGAUUAUAAAUUUGAGGAUCAGAUUAAGCAAUUUCUCAUGGGGUUAGAUGAACAAUUCUCUAAUGUGAGGAGUCAGAUCUUGCUGAUGGAUCCACUGCCUUCACUCAAUAAGGUAUUUCUUUAAUUCUGCAAGAUGAAAGACAACAAGAUGUUGUGGCUAAGAAACAACAAAAUUUUGAUGCUGCUAUAUUUGCUAGUAAAAUGAUCCACAGCUCUUUUGGUAAUUAAAGAACCAACUCGUUUAACCAAUUGUAGAAAAAAGGAUAGGCCUAUAUGCAGUUACUAUGGAAUGCUUGGACACCUUAAAAGUAAAUGCUGCAAGCUGAGUGGCUACCCUCCUGGUCAUAGACUGGCUAAAGGGAAAGCUCCAGUUGCUAUUGAUGUUAGUUCAGUACCUCACAACACAAGUUCAGACAAAAUAAGUUCCUUGUCAAACGUCACUAUUACUCCAGGACAAUAUCAACAAAUCUAGGCCAUGCUAGCUCCACAACUACAAGGACAUAUCUCUGUUGGAAAUCAGCAAACUCAAGAAUUGAUUUCUUCAUCUCCUCAAGUGCCUACUGCAUUUGUUUUCUCAAGUAGAUUGCAUAUGUUUUAAUGUUUCCACAGUUGCUGAUAAGUGGAUUAUGGAUACAGGAGCCUCAGAACAUAUAGUCUGUUCCAUUAACGACUUAACAACCAUGAUAGCAAAAAUUGAAGCAUCUAUGAGAUUACCAAAUGGUGAAGUUGCUACAGCCACACAUUUUGGUACAGUGAAGUUGUUUGACACUUUAAUUUUGACAAAAGUCCUAGUUGUGCCUUGUUUCCAGUUUAAUUUGAUUUCUGCUAGCAAGUUGAUACUUCAGCACAGAUGUUGUAUAAUAUUCAUGGAUCAUCAUUGUUUUAUACAGGAUCUUUCAACAUGGAGGACGAUUGGGAUAUAUAGGCUCGAAGAUGGCUUAUACCACCUUCAGCAAUUUGAAUACUAGUGUAAUGAAUCUCCAUGUUUCCCUCAACAACUCACAUCAGCUUCAAAUAUUUCUUCUAGCAUUAGUCACAUUCCUAUUCACAUUUGCAAUGUAUUAAUUCAAACUCUAUUGUGUGUAAUUCUAUCAGUAAUAUUGCUGCUGACAUUGACAUUUGGCAUUGUCGUUUAGGGCACAUUUCCAUCUCGAAAUUGUCAUUUUUACAUAAAAUUGUUCCCACAAUUACUUUCAAUGAGCAUUUGCAUUAUCCAAUAUGUCCUAUGGCCAAACA
rnacentral:lncRNA from 1 species